GAGCGGUAACAGAUCCAGCUUGCUGGAUGCUGACGAGCGGCGGACGGGUGAGUAAUGCAUAGGAAUCUGCCCGAUAGUGGGGGAUAACCUGGGGAAACCCAGGCUAAUACCGCAUACGUCCUACGGGAGAAAGGGGGCUCCGGCUCCCGCUAUGGGAUGAGCCUAUGUCGGAUUAGCUAGUUGGUGAGGUAACGGCUCACCAAGGCCACGAUCCGUAGCUGGUCUGAGAGGAUGAUCAGCCACAUCGGGACUGAGACACGGCCCGAACUCCUACGGGAGGCAGCAGUGGGGAAUAUUGGACAAUGGGGGAAACCCUGAUCCAGCCAUGCCGCGUGUGUGAAGAAGGCCCUCGGGUUGUAAAGCACUUUCAGCGAGGAAGAACGCCUGGCGGUUAAUACCCGCCAGGAAAGACAUCACUCGCAGAAGAAGCACCGGCUAACUCCGUGCCAGCAGCCGCGGUAAUACGGAGGGUGCAAGCGUUAAUCGGAAUUACUGGGCGUAAAGCGCGCGUAGGUGGCUUGAUAAGCCGGUUGUGAAAGCCCCGGGCUCAACCUGGGAACGGCAUCCGGAACUGUCAAGCUAGAGUGCAGGAGAGGAAGGUAGAAUUCCCGGUGUAGCGGUGAAAUGCGUAGAGAUCGGGAGGAAUACCAGUGGCGAAGGCGGCCUUCUGGACUGACACUGACACUGAG
rnacentral:rRNA from 1 species